AAACACAAUCUUGUGUUUUAUGCAGCGUUAACCCACUGCGUAGCGGCUAGAACCCGCAAUGGACUUCUAAAAGGAGAAAACAAAUG
rnacentral:ncRNA from 1 species